GAAAAGAUAGUCUAGUGGAUAGGGCAUUGGGCUUGUACUCCAGAGAUUUAGGUGUAAUUCCUGGCUUAUCU
rnacentral:tRNA from 1 species